rnacentral:rRNA from 1 species
GACGAACGCUGGCGGCGUGCCUAAUACAUGCAAGUAGAACGCUGAAGAGAGGAGCUUGCUCUUCUUGGAUGAGUUGCGAACGGGUGAGUAACGCGUAGGUAACCUGCCUUGUAGCGGGGGAUAACUAUUGGAAACGAUAGCUAAUACCGCAUAACAAUGGAUGACACAUGUCAUUUAUUUGAAAGGGGCAAUUGCUCCACUACAAGAUGGACCUGCGUUGUAUUAGCUAGUAGGUGAGGUAAUGGCUCACCUAGGCGACGAUACAUAGCCGACCUGAGAGGGUGAUCGGCCACACUGGGACUGAGACACGGCCCAGACUCCUGCGGGAGGCAGCAGUAGGGAAUCUUCGGCAAUGGGGGCAACCCUGACCGAGCAACGCCGCGUGAGUGAAGAAGGUUGUCGGAUCGUAAAGCUCUGUUGUAAGUCAAGAACGGGUGUGAGAGUGGAAAGUUCACACUGUGACGGUAGCUUACCAGAAAGGGACGGCUAACUACGUG